GAAGUUGUGUAAUUUGUUUUAUUUUGUCUAUUUAGUGUUUCUUCAGGUUUAAAUGUGUAAUAAUGGUGGUUUAUUAACUACUUAAUAUCUGUGAAAGGGCACAAAUGUGGGAAAAUGAAACAAAGCCGCUGGGCGUAGCUUCUCAGGAUCCUCCAAAAAAUCCACUGAAAAAAUCUUAGUAAAUGACCACCAUUUUACUGAGAUUAUAUUUCAUCCCAAAUCAUCUCAUUUCAUUUCAUUUAAUUUCGUCCCAGUUGAUUAAUGUCUCAAAUUAAUCAUCUUCAUUUCAUUUCACUCUAUAAUAUCAUUUUUUUUUAAAACCAUGAAUGACAUGACUUAAAGGACUCAGUUACCAGGUCAUAAAAUCCCUUAAAAAAAUUGCCAAAAAGAUGUGAAAAUUAUAUCCACAAAACUAAAAUUUAUGACUCACUGAGUAAAAUAAUUAGAUGUUCUAAACGUUUUCGUUCUUCCAAAUUACAACAAUUUUAUUUAUCAAAAUGAUCUGUAUAGUGUGUGUGGGUGUGUAAAAUAAUCUAGGUCUAUGGGUUAAAAUCGAUAAAUUGCCAAUCUUUCUUUUAAAUAAAAUAGAAUUGGACUUUAUCAUUUACAUCUAAUUCCAAAGGGUAUUAUUUAAUGGUCACGCUUCUCCAUCUUGUGCUAGUUACGUAAUUUUUUUUUAUUGCCCUUGUAGGCAGACGAACACACGGCCCACCUGAUGGUGAGUGGUUACCGUUGCCCAUGGACUUCAGCAAUGCCAGGGGCAGAGCCAAGCCGCUGCCUACCGCUUAAUACUCUCCACAAGCCUCGUUUGAAGAAGGACAUGUCAUAGCGCUCGGGAAACACCGUGGAGGGGAGCUCAUUCCAUAGCCGUAUGGUACGUGGCAAAAAAGAUUUCUGGAAACGCACUGUGGAUGACCGCAGUGGCUCCAGGUAGUACGGAUGAACUCUACUCCGAUGGCGGGCGGUGCGAUGGUAAAAACGAGAUGCCGGUAUCAUCUCGAACAAUUCCUCAGAGCACUCCCCAUGGAACAUACGGUAUAAAAUACAGAGAGAACCAAAGUCCCUCCGCAGACCCAGAGGUUCCAAACGAUCCGUGAGACUGGGAUUAUCGACAAUCCGAACGGCCCUCCUCUUGUUAAAAAGAGUUCAAAAGCGGUCGAGAUAUAACAGAAGAUUUGCCUCACUUUGGUAGGCCAUCAACGUCUACAACUGAAGUUAACAUUGCAAAAGCGAAGGAAAUAGUUACUGAAAAUCCUCAUUCAAAUUUCAUCAUAUUUAAUCACUUGGGUAUGAAACAUGUUGCCGCUCAGCUAGUCCCAAAAGGCCAGCAUUUUAUCCAAAAACUCAAUCGCAUAAGAGUCGCUGAGGACAUGCUAGAACGAGUCAGUUCCGAAGAAACCGUAAAAACCACGUCAAAGUCGAUCAAAAAUCAAAGACAUGUUGACCAUUUUCUUUGACUAGCGCGGUGUUGCGCAGUCGGGAUUCUUGUCGGAAGGUCAAACGGUAUAAAUAUAAACGUAAAGUAUUAACGAUAUAAAGAUAUAAAGAAUAUUAUUUGAGUGCUUUGCGAUUUCUAAGAGACUAAAGUCGACGAAAAAGGCCAGAUAUUCGGAAAGAAAAUUCUUGAUUUUGCACGACGAUAAUGCGCCUUUGUACAAGGCCGUCAUUGUGGACGAAUUUUUGACAAAAAACUACAAAUACCACCGAAAAAACUGCUUACUAACUAGAUAUGGCUUCAGCCGACAUCUUUCUUUUUCCUAUUUAUUUCCUAUUCAUCAAAUUACCACUUUGCGGCAAGCGUUUUCUUUCGGUAGAAGACAAAAAUGAGAUUUGGUGGCGAGAACUGAACGUUUAAAAAAUGUUUUGAUGAUUAGAUUAUUCGUUGGUGUAAAUAUAUCGUUUCUGAAGGAGCACACUUUGUAAGUGAUAAAAUAAAUUUGGAUAUUGUGUAUUA